rnacentral:rRNA from 1 species
GAUGAACGCUGGCGGCGUGCUUAACACAUGCAAGUCGAACGGAAAGGCUCCUGCUUGCAGGGGUACUCGAGUGGCGAACGGGUGAGUAACACGUGGGUGAUCUGCCCUGCACUUCGGGAUAAGCCUGGGAAACUGGGUCUAAUACCGGAUAGGACGAUGGUUUGGAUGCCAUUGUGGAAAGUUUUUUCGGUGUGGGAUGAGCUCGCGGCCUAUCAGCUUGUUGGUGGGGUAAUGGCCUACAAAGGCGUCGACGGGUAGCCGGCCUGAGAGGGUGUACGGCCACAUUGGGACUGAGAUACGGCCCAGACUCCUACGGGAGGCAGCAGUGGGGAAUAUUGCACAAUGGGCGCAAGCCUGAUGCAGCGACGCCGCGUGGGGGAUGACGGCCUUCGGGUUGUAAACUCCUUUCGCUAGGGACGAAGCGCAAGUGACGGUACCUGGAGAAGAAGCACCGGCUAACUACGUG